UCUACGGGAGGCUGCAGUGAGGAAUAUUGGUCAAUGGGCGAGAGCCUGAACCAGCCAAGUCGCGUGAAGGAUGACGGCCCUACGGGUUGUCAACUUCUUUUGUCAGGGAGCAAUUGGGUCCACGCGUGGGCUUAGCGAGCGUACCUGAAGAAAAAGCAUCGGCUAACUCCGUGCAAGCAGCCGCGGUAAUACGGAGGAUGCGAGCGUUAUCCGGCUUUGUUGGGGUUAAAGGGUGCGGAGGCGGAAUAUCAAGUCACCGGGAAAAAAUCGGGGCUCAACCCCGUCGUGACGUUGAAACUGAUGUUCUUGAGUGGGCGAGAAGUAUGCGGAAUGCGUGGUGUAGCGGUGAAAUGCAUAGAUAUCACGCAGAACUCCGAUUGCGAAGGCAGCAUACCGGCGCCCAACUGACGCUGAAGCACGAAAGCGUGGGUAUCGAACAGGAUUAGAUACCCGAGUAGUC
rnacentral:rRNA from 1 species